AAAAUUCCUAUAAGAAUUUGGGACAAAAUUCCUAUAGGAAUUUUUCCUAUAGGAAUUCCUAUAGGAAAAAUUCCUAUAGGAAAAAUUCCUAUAGGAAUUUUGUCCCAAAUUCUUAUAGGAAUUUUUCCU